CACCUGCGCAGGCUGGUUGGCCCUAAGGCAGGGCUGGGUGAAUAUCUCUUCAAAAGCUCACCCUUAAACAUGACUGGGAGC
rnacentral:pre_miRNA from 1 species